GCUGGGCACGGUGGCGCGUGCCUGUAAUCCCAGCUACUCGGGAGGCUGAGGCAGGAGAAUCGCCUGAACCCAGGAGGCGGAGGUUGCGGUGAGCCGAGAUGGCGCCAUUGUACUCCAGCCUGGGUAACAAGAGCGAAACUCCGUCUCAAAAAAAAAAACCAGAGUCUCGUUCUGUCGUCCAGGCCAGAGUACAAUGGUGCGAUCUGUGCUCACUGCAGCCUCCACCUCCCGGGAACAAGCGAUUCUCCUGCCUCAG
rnacentral:sRNA from 13 species